CUGCUGCCUUCCGUAGGAGUCUGGUCCGUGUCUCAGUACCAGUGUGGGGGACCUUCCUCUCAGAACCCCUACGCAUCGUCGGUUAGGUGGGCCGUUACCCCGCCUACUGCCUAAUGCGCCGCAUGCCCAUCCCUGUCCGGCCGAAGCCUUUCCUGCCUCCGGGAUGCCCCGGUGGCAUGUACGCGGGUUUAGCCCGCCUUUCGGCGGGUUGUCCCCCUGACAGGGCAGGUUGCAUACGUGUUACUCACCCGUGCGCCGGUCGCCGGCGGAGAAAG
rnacentral:rRNA from 1 species